AAAUGUUACCAGCACGGCAGCUCCUUCUUUAUAUGUGCCUCAAUUUCUUCAUUGUCUCCUCCUUCCAUCUCCUCUCUUAUAGGAUUCCAUUGCUGAUUCCUCCAUUCUCUUCUCCCAAUUUUGCUUAGACGCCUCUCAGAUGGAUCAAAUUCUGUCCAAAAAUUUUGUUUUGGAAGCCCAAGAGGCCGAAUCGAUCCGCCAAUACCUCAAUCUCCCGUCGGUGCUCCACCUCCUACCCCGCUUAGUUCAAUCGGCGCAGUCGUUAGCCCGCCCGCCCAUCUCAAAAUUUCAUGUUGGUGCAGUGGGCUUGGGCUCCGAUGGCCGUGUGUUCAUAGGAGUCAAUCUGGAGUUCCCGGGACUCCCACUUCACCACACCGUCCACGCCGAGCAGUUUCUCCUUACCAAUCUUGCUGUCCAUGGGUGUCCUCAGCUACUUUCUUUUGCAGUUUCUGAUGCUCCCUGCGGUCACUGCCGCCAGUUCUUACAGGAGCUCCGUAACUCCUCGUCUCUUGAAAUCCUUGUCAUGUCCCAUGUUCAAGGAAAUAUGGAGAACGCUCUUUCCUUCAAGCGCUUGUCUGAAAUUCUAACGGAUCCAUUUGGCCCUCAUGAUCUUUUAAGUGAAGAAACUCCGCUUCUUCUCGAGUCACACAAUAAUGGGUUAUCUCUGUUACCGAAAAAUGCUUUAUCAGUGGACGGAAGUUCGACAAAUCUUUGCAAUGGUAACUGUGAAUUGUCCGUGGGCAAUGAGAAUUCUGUUAAAUUGAGCUGUGGGAAUUGGGAAAAGGAUCAGAUCCUUUUGAGAAAAGCGGCAUUGGAAGCUGCUAAUAACUCACAUGCACCAUACAGUGGGUGCCCUUCUGGGGUGGCGUUGAUGGAUUCUGAAGGAAAGGUGUAUAGAGGGUCGUAUUUGGAGUCUGCGGCUUACAAUCCUAGUUUAGGGCCGGUGCAGGCGGCGUUGGUGGCGUUUUUGGCUGGAGGCGGUGUUGGUUAUACGAGUAUUGUGGCCGCAGUUUUGGUGGAGAAGGAAGAGGCUAAGGUGAAGCAGGAAGAUACUGCAAGGCUUAUUUUGAAGGCGGUCUCUCCCAGAUGUGAAUUUACGGUGUUCUAUUGUCGAUCAGCAGAAAAUGGAUGUAAAAAUAGUUGCUGAUUAUUUUCUGGUAAAUGGAUAAUCAAACUCCUGGGAAGCAAUGUCAGUACCCCAUUAAUCCAUCCAAGUACUGAAGUUUUGAUGAAACUGUAGUUUAUAAAAAUCAAAGAUACAUAGAAAUGUGAGAAGGGCGGCGGUGGAGUUUAGUGUGAUCUUUGGUGACUAGUGAAAGCUUUUGAUUCUAGGUAUACUGAAACUUAGCUUGAUUUGAUGAUGGAAGGAGAGUCAAAGACGUGCUACUACUGGCGCACAUUUAUCAGUUGGCAGGUCAAGAAAAACUCUCCUUAUCAAUGUAAACGACCAACUAAUCAGUCAAUAAAAAGAAUGAAUGAACAACUAGUUGAGGUUCAUCUCUUAUUGUGAAUUGUAUUUUCGUACAUUCAUUCUUCAUUUGCACUGUGCACUUGUCUAUUGAUAGCACAGGAAUAUAUAAGUCAUGACAACCAGCUGUAGACCUGAUGAACAGCUUUGGAUUUCUUGUAAGACCCACGCUUGUUUGGUAAGAUCUAUCAGAAAGAGCUUUCAGAUUUUUUCUCUUUGGCACUACAUUCAAAGAAAAUUGAAUAGGAGAUUUAAGAAGUUCUAACUUCCUAAUUCUUAUCCAUUGCAACUAGCAUAUGGGCAUUUUUUUUUCUUCAGUUGUAUGAGAUGAAGUUUCCCAUUUGAAUCUGAUAGGGGGAUUUGACCUAUCUGAAUAAAGUUCUGAUUGGCUAGAA